rnacentral:rRNA from 1 species
GACGAACGCUGGCGGCGUGCUUAACACAUGCAAGUCGAACGGAAAGGCCCCUUUCUUGGUCCUCGAGUGUCGAACGGGUGCGUAACACGUUAGUAACCUGCCCUUGACUUCGGGAUAACUUCAGCUAACUGGGGCUAAUACCGGUUAGGAAUCCUUUCUUCAUGGUGGUGGUUGGAAAGCUUCGGCGGUUUUGGCUGUACUCGCGGAGUAUCAGCUUGUUGGUGGGGUAGUGGCUUACCAAGGCUUUUUCGGGUAGCCGGCCUGCGAGGGCGACCGGCCACAUUGGGACUGAGAGAAGGCCGAGACACCGAAGGGAGGCAGAAGUGGGGAAGAUUGCACGAUGGGCGGAAGCCUGAUGCAGAAACGCCGCGGGCGGGAAGACGGCGUUCGGGUUGAAAAACGAAUGCAGAAGGGGCGAAGCUUGUGGUGACGGUACCUGAAGAAGAAGCAACGGCUAACUACGUG